rnacentral:rRNA from 1 species
GGAGUUAGCCGGUGCUUCUUCUGUGAGUGAUGUCCUUCCUGCCGGCUAUUAACCCGCAGGCCUUCUUCCUCACUGAAAGUGCUUUACAACCCGAAGGCCUUCUUCACACACGCGGCAUGGCUGGAUCAGGGUUGCCCCCAUUGUCCAAUAUUCCCCACUGCUGCCUCCCGUAGGAGUCUGGGCCGUGUCUCAGUCCCAGUGUGGCUGAUCAUCCUCUCAGACCAGCUACGGAUCGUCGCCUUGGUGAGCCGUUACCUCACCAACCAGCUAAUCCGACAUAGGCUCAUCCGAUAGCGCGAGGCCCGAAGGUCCCCCGCUUUCCCCCGUAGGGCGUAUGCGGUAUUAGCCUGGGUUUCCCCAGGUUAUCCCCCACUACCGGGCAGAUUCCUAUGCAUUACUCACCCGUCCGCCGCUCGCCACCAGGGAGCAAGCUCCCCGUGCUGCCGCUCGACUUGCAUGUGUUAGGCCUGCCGCCAGCGUUCAAUCUGAGCCAGGAAUCAAACUCUGA